rnacentral:rRNA from 2 species
UUUAACUGAAGAGUUUGAUCAUGGCUCAGAUUGAACGCUGGCGGCAGGCUUAACACAUGCAAGUCGAGC